AGCGAACGCUGGCGGCAGGCCUAACACAUGCAAGUCGAACGGAUCCUUCGGGAUUAGUGGCGGACGGGUGAGUAACACGUGGGAACGUGCCCUUUGGUUCGGAACAACUCAGGGAAACUUGAGCUAAUACCGGAUGUGCCCUUCGGGGGAAAGAUUUAUCGCCAUUGGAGCGGCCCGCGUCUGAUUAGCUAGUUGGUGAGGUAACGGCCCACUAAGGCGACGAUCAGUAGCUGGUCUGAGAGGAUGAUCAGCCACACUGGGACUGAGACACGGCCCAGACUCCUACGGGAGGCAGCAGUGGGGAAUCUUGCGCAAUGGGCGAAAGCCUGACGCAGCCAUGCCGCGUGAAUGAUGAAGGUCUUAGGAUUGUAAAAUUCUUUCAGCGGGGACGAUAAUGACGGUACCCGCAGAAGAAGCUCCGGCUAACUUCGUG
rnacentral:rRNA from 1 species